AACCUGCUAACAAAGGCAUCAGACCCAUAUCUUGCAUUGCUGGCCUACAGAGCAACCCCUCUACAGAACGGCUAUAGCCCGGCCGAGCUGUUGAUGGGGUGCCGCCUCCGCACUACAGUUCCUGCCCUUCCAACCCUGCUGAAUCCAGUUUUGCCUGACUACAACGCGCUGGGGGCCAAAGAAAGGGAGAAGAGGAGGAACGACGCAAGAUCCUUCGACAAGAGGCACGGAGCGAGAAAUCUGCAGCCACUCGUACCUGGGGAGGAUGUGUGGAUCACCGAUGCACGAGUCCAGGGCACAGUGCUAUCUACACACAAUACCCCUCGCUCUUAUAUCGUCCAGGUGCCUCAGGGCACACUGAGGAGGAACCGGCAUCACUUGGUGCCGCUGCAGACCAACAGUGGGGUAGUCGACGCUGAUGAGCCACCGGUGGGAGAAGUUUCACCUACACCAGAGCCAGCUCCACCAGUGACAACAUCACCCAGCAGAGAGGGCCCCACCACAGAGACUGUGCGGACCAGGUGUGGGAGAGAGGUUAGAAAGCCGAAGAGACUUGAUUGGUGAUUUAUUGAUUUGUUUUCUACAGUAAAGAAAAAGAGAGUGAAAUGUGAUUGUGAAAUUGUUCUGCUAAACCUGUUACAUUUACCUGAAACCUGAGAUAAUAGUUCACAGUAUGGUAACGCAUAAGUUAUUUUAUUUCUAUUUUGCAUGCUUGAAACAGGGACAGAUCAGGGACAGGUCUUCCAGCAAAAGGGCAGAAUAAACCCCUUAAGACCUGCAGAGACAAAGGUAGUCCACCCUUUGUUCUCAAAGAAAGGGAGAUGUGGUAUUAUG